AGACAGAGAAAAAGAGAAAACAACAACAAAAAUGAAGCAAGAGUAAACUGCCAACUCCAACUGCCUUUCUGGAAGGCCUAAUUUGAAGAUGUCUGAAAUUCUGUAUCACUGGCUCCCAGACAUAUCAUGUUUAUUUGUACAUCACACCUUUGCCCACCUCUGCUCAGUGGACCUCCAGCCUAAAAUGCCUCCCUUGUUCCUCUGUCUCACUUCAGCUGUUAUUGAAGUCUCCUGGUACAAUGUGACAUUUCCAGCGUCUUGUUUUCCAAUCAGAUCAGUGGCUCUCAGUGGACCAACUGAUAAGGAACAUUUGGAAAAUGUUACGAUGAUUGAGGGCUGUACUGGUAUUUGGUGGGCAGGGAAUGACAAUGUCCUGUGAUGUAUCCAUCAUAAUGGAAAAUUAUCUGAUGUCUUGGGCAAAUAACAGCAGUCCUGCCAGACAAAAUGAAGGUGAAAAAUUCAUUUAUAAUUGCCUAAGUUCAGAGCUUCUCUCUGUUUUACAUACAAGUACAAGAAAUGUUUGGCACAGUUUUAAUGUAUACUGAAUUAUAGGAAUCCAAUUACAAUAUAUUUUGCUUAACAUAGA
rnacentral:lncRNA from 10 species